CCUACGGGGGGCAGCAGUCGAGAAUCAUUCACAAUGGGGGAAACCCUGAUGGUGCGACGCCGCGUGGGGGAAUGAAGGUCUUCGCACUGUAAACCCCUGUCAUGUGGGAGCAAAUUAAAAAGAUAGUAUCACAAGUGGAAGAGACGGCUAACUAUGUGCCAGCAGCCGCGGUAAUACAGAGGUCGCAAGCGUUGUUCGGAAUCACUGGGCGUAAAGCGUGCGUAGGCUGUUUCGUAAGUCGGGUGUGAAAGGCGCGGGCUCAACCCGCGGACGGCACAUGAUACUGCGGGACUAGAGUAAUGGAGAGGGGAGCGGAAUUCUCGGUGUAGCAGUGGAAUGCGUAGAUAUCGGGAGGAACACUCGUGGCGAAGGCGGGUUCCUGGACAUUAACUGACGCUGAGGCACGAAGGCCAGGGGAGCGAAAGGGAUUAGAUACCCUUGUAGUC
rnacentral:rRNA from 1 species